rnacentral:rRNA from 1 species
CGAAGACUGCGAAGUGGAGCAAAUCCCUAAAAGCCAUCUCAGUUCGGAUUGCAGGCUGCAACUCGCCUGCAUGAAGCUGGAAUUGCUAGUAAUCGCGGAUCAGCAAGCCGCGGUGAAUACGUUCCCGGGCCUUGUACACACCGCCCGUCACACCAUGGGAGUCGGAUAUGCCCGAAGCCGGUGACCUAACCGCAAGGAGGACGCCGCCGAAGGUGGGAUUGAUGACUGGGGUGAAGUCGUAACAAGGUACC